rnacentral:misc_RNA from 1 species
GCGGAAGGAUCAUUGAAUCGAUCGAAUCCACUUUGGUAACCAACCGUCCCCUCGCCCUGGUGCGAGCGUCGGUCCCCUGGCUGGGGUCUUCUGACCGCAGUUCAGGUCCGGCGGGCCUUGCUCCCACGGGUGUCCCUUCGGGGCCCCAUGGGUUGCAGGGUCGGUAAUUUAUAUUCAACUCAACCCACCCCAAACCUAAAUCAUAACUAAAGCUAAUUAGUGUGUGCAUCUCGGUGCCUCACUCUAACCAAAGACAACUCUCAACAACGGAUAUCUUGGCUCCCGUAUCGAUGAAGAACGCAGCGAAAUGCGAUACGUAGUGUGAAUUGCAGAAUUCCGUGAACCAUCGAAUCUUUGAACGCAAAUUGCGCCCGAGGCUUCGGCCGAGGGCAUGUCUGCCUCAGCGUCGGCUUACACCCUCGCUCUCCCUCUCCUUUGGAGUGGAUAGAGCGGAUCUGACCUUCCCGGCUCCUCUUCGAUUCGUCGUUGAGUCCGGGUCGGUUGAAGUGUAGAGGCUUGAGCAUGGACCCCGUUUGUAGGGCAAUGACUUGGUAGGUAGCAUCGCUACACAGCCUGUCGUUGUCCGAGGGGACUUUGCUGGCGGCCUAGCAGGAAUUCUGGGUGGUCCUGCCACCCAGAAUGUCUCACAAAUUCGACCUGAGCUCA